rnacentral:rRNA from 1 species
CAGUCGCCACGGUAAUACGUAGGUCCCGAGCGUUGUCCGGAUUUAUUGGGCGUAAAGCGAGCGCAGGCGGUUUGAUAAGUCUGAAGUUAAAGGCUGUGGCUCAACCAUAGUUCGCUUUGGAAACUGUCAAACUUGAGUGCAGAAGGGGAGAGUGGAAUUCCAUGUGUAGCGGUGAAAUGCGUAGAUAUAUGGAGGAACACCGGUGGCGAAAGCGGCUCUCUGGUCUGUAACUGACGCUGAGGCUCGAAAGCGUGGGGAGCGAACAGGAUUAGAGACCCGAGUAGUCCCUGUCUCUUAUACA